GGCCCUAUCGUCUAACGGUUAGGACAUCGCCUUCUCAAGGCGAGAAUAGGGGUUCGAUUCCCCUUGGGGCUA
rnacentral:tRNA from 1 species